CCGCACUCAAAAAAAUUCAUUUCUGAGAAAGCUGCACGCUACCUUCCCUCUACAAAACACCCCAACAGCCAUUCAGUGAUCCAAAAACCCUCCAAUGUUUGGAAUGUAAGUCUAUCCACAAGACAACCAGAGAAUUAUGGAGCUUACAAGUUAUAACCAGAGAUCAAGAAUGAACCCAAGAAUACUUAAAAUGAUACAUAUGUAUCAAAGAGAUGCUGAAAAUGUUAAAUUUUACAUUAGGUAGUUCACACAACAUUGAACCAAGUUGGGACUUCUACUUUUUACUUAGGUUCCUGAUCACAUAUGGCAGGAUUCCACCGUGAUCAAAAUAUGCCAACUCGACCUCUGUAUCAAAGCGUACUGUGCAAGUGAAAGAUUUGCCAGUGUCAGUUGUGACGGUAACAUCUUGUCCAGGCCUUAUCUCACUUAUUUUGUCAGGAAGGUCAAUAGUGUAGCGUUCAUGACCAGUCAAUCCUAAUGUCUCUGCAUCCUCACCAGGCUUGAAACAUUGAGGAAUGAUCCCCAUUCCAACUAAAUUACUACGGUGAAUCCUCUCAAAGCUCUUGGCAAUCACUGCUUUUACUCCCAGCAGCAUGGGACCCUUGGCAGCCCAAUCUCGAGAGCUGCCACUUCCAUAUUCUGCUCCUGCAAGGACAAUGGUGUCAUGCCCAGCUUCCUUGUAUCUCAUUGCUGCAUCAAACACACAAAGCUUCUCGCCUGUGGGAAUGUGGAUGGUCUUUGGGCCUACUUCUCCAUUUAAAAGCUUGUUGACAAUACGAAUGUUGGCAAAUGUACCUCUUGCCAUUACUUCAUCAUUGCCUCGGCGGCUGCCAUAAGAAUUGAAAUCCUUGGGUUGAACCCCACGCUCAAGGAGAUAUUUUGCGGCAGGCUAUCUUUGUGGAUACUGCCUGCUAGUGAGAUAUGAUCAGUGGUUAUACUGUCUCCAAAACGGAGCAAGCAGUAUGCAUCCUUCACACCAUGAGGACCUGGUGGCUCCACGGUCAUGUUCUUGAAAUACGGGGGCUCAUGGAUGUAGGUAGAUUUUGGAUCCCAUGAAUAAAGAGUGGAAGCAGGGACAGAGAGUUGAUUCCACAUGAGGUUAGCCAUUGUGAUAGCCUCAUAAGUGCUUUUGAACAUAUCAGGCAACACACUAGAUUGCACAACCUCUGCAAUUUCUUCUGUAGUUGGCCAGAUAUCCUUGAAAUAGAUAUUCUUACCAUCCUUUCCUGUUCCAAUUGGCUCCUUGUCAAAAUCAAUGUCAACCGUGCCAGCAAGAGCAUAGGCAACCACCAAAGGAGGUGAUGCAAGGUAGUUGGCCCUUGUCAAUGCAUGAACCCGACCUUCAAAAUUCCGGUUACCGGAGAGCACAGCAGCAGCUAUAAUGUCGUUCUCUGAAAUAGCAGAAGCAACUGACUCAUCCAAUUCACCAGAAUUCCCUAUGCAUGUUGUGCAGCCAUACCCGACAAUAUGGAAGCCCUGUUGAUUCAAAUAUUUUUGUAGUCCACUCUGGAGCAAAUAUUUUGUAACUACUCCAGAACCAGGGGCAAGACUUGUCUUUAUCCAUGGCUUGACCUGUAAACCAAGUUCGCAAGCCUUUUUUGCAACAAGACCAGCCCCAAGCAUCACGCUGGGAUUUGAUGUGUUUGUGCAGCUUGUGAUUGCAGCAAUCACCACACUACCAUGCUUAAGCUCUGCUGGUUGUCCAUGGAAUGAGAACUUUGCCACUUUGUCUUGUGCUUCUUUUGGUACAGCAAAGCCCUUGAAUCCAACUUGGUUGUCAAGACAAGAAUGCCAGUCAGUCUUCAUUUCUCUCAAAGGAACCCGAUCAUGAGGUCUCUUUGGUCCAGAAAUACAUGGCUCUACAUCAGCAAGGUUCAAUUGUAGAUAUGAUGAGUACACCCUUUCUUGUUGGGGCUCAUUAUAGUCAACAAACAUUUUAUUUGCACGAAGGUAUGCUUCUAUCAUUGCCACAGUUUCAUCACUCCUUCCAGUCAAUUUUAGAUAUUGUAAAGUAACAUGAUCCACAGGGAAGAAUCCCAUGGUUGCACCAUACUCGGGAGACAUGUUAGCUAUAGUGGCCCUAUCUGCCAAUGAUAGCUCACCCAUACCAUCCCCAUAAAACUCAACAAAUUUGCCAACAACACCAUGCUUCCUCAGCAUUUGAGUCACAGUCAAAACCAAGUCAGUAGCUGUGACACCAUUGCGUAAUUUUCCAGAUAACUUGAACCCAACAACACCAGGCAACACCAUGCUCAUUGGCUGGCCAAGCAUUGCAGCUUCUACUUCAAUACCUCCAACUCCCCAACCAGCAACUCCUAAUCCAUCAAUCAUGGUUGUAUGAGAAUCAGUUCCAACCACACUAUCAGGGUAGAGUGUGCCAUCAGUGUUGAAAACAACCCGUCCAAGGUAUUCAAGAUUCACCUGAUGCACAAUACCAGAACCUGGAGGAACUACAAGCAUAUUAUGGAAAGCAUUUGAUCCCCAUUUAAGAAAAGCAAAUCUCUCCUUGUUCCUCUGAAAUUCAAGCUCCAUAUUUGCCUGCACCGCAUUUUCUGAUCGUGUCACAUCAACUUGAACCGAAUGAUCAAUAACCAAAUCUACAGGAACCAGAGGAUUGAUCUUGUUGGAAUCACCACCAAGGUUGCUCAUGGCAUCACGCAUAGAAGCAAGGUCCACAACAGCUGGUACUCCAGUAAAAUCCUGCAAGAGAACACGGGCAGGCUUGAAGGGAAUUUCAACUUGUUUUGGUGAUGAAUUUUCCCAAUCAAUGAUUUUUUCAACAUCUUCUUUGGUGACUUGGAAGUUGUCACAGUUACGAAUUGCAGAUUCAAGAAGGAUUCUGACUGAAUAGGGCAGUUUAUCAAUUCUUGGAUCAUUUAAUGCAGGAAGACUAUAGAACUUCCCAAAUUCACCACCGCCUGGUUUUGGGAGAGAUGUAAAGAUUCCCUUAAAAGGAUUUUCAGGAGCCAUAGUAGCUAUCUUUCGUUGAAAUCGUUCGAUCACAGGAGCAACAGCUCUGAUCUGGGACCGGAGACUAACCGGAGACCGCCAAUCGACACCGUGACUCCAGCGAGGAACCGAGCACCGAAGGGAUCUAACGGCAGCAGAGAAGCUGAGAGAUCGGUGCUGAGUAGUAUUAGCGAAAGACGAAGGAGAGACCUUAGGAGGCGGAGAAGUGAGAGCCGAGGCUCUAGUAAUGGAGGAAGAGAGAGAAGAGGAAAGUCUAGCCCUAGACGCUCUGAGGAGCGAAGAGGCUGAGGUUGAAGCCGUCAUAUACAUGACGAAUUUCACAUAAAAAAGCUCAAAUUUGCAGAUAAGAUGAAGGUGAGAGAGACAAAGAAAGAUGAUUGCAGAGAUGAGGAAGAAAGCUAACAGUUUCUGUCUACACGAUUUGAUGA
rnacentral:misc_RNA from 1 species